GGCGAACGCUGGCGGCGUGCCUAAUACAUGCAAGUAGAACGCACAGUUUAUACCGUAGCUUGCUACACCAUAAACUGUGAGUUGCGAACGGGUGAGUAACGCGUAGGUAACCUGCCUGGUAGCGGGGGAUAACUAUUGGAAACGAUAGCUAAUACCGCAUAAUAUUAAUUAUUGCAUGAUAAUUGAUUGAAAGAUGCAAUUGCAUCACUACCAGAUGGACCUGCGUUGUAUUAGCUAGUAGGUGAGGUAACGGCUCACCUAGGCGACGAUACAUAGCCGACCUGAGAGGGUGAUCGGCCACACUGGGACUGAGACACGGCCCAGACUCCUACGGGAGGCAGCAGUAGGGAAUCUUCGGCAAUGGACGAAAGUCUGACCGAGCAACGCCGCGUGAGUGAAGAAGGUUUUCGGAUCGUAAAGCUCUGUUGUAAGAGAAGAACGGGUGUGAGAGUGGAAAGUUCACACUGUGACGGUAUCUUACCAGAAAGGGACGGCUAACUACGUG
rnacentral:rRNA from 1 species